rnacentral:misc_RNA from 1 species
UGUUCGAGCGCCAUUUCUACCCUGGAGCCCUGCUCUGUGAUGGGCCCCGUCCCCGCGGACGGGCCCGAAACCCGUGGGCGCCGUCGUCCGGCCCCGAGCGUAGCAAGAGAAAUCCCUCGCUCGGAGAGUCUGGCGGUGGCCGCCCCGACCCAUUUUACAAGGUUGGCCUCGGAUCAGGUGGGGAUACCCGCUGAACUUAA